AUUGAACGCUGGCGGCAGGCUUAACACAUGCAAGUCGAGCGCCCCGCAAGGGGAGCGGCAGACGGGUGAGUAACGCGUGGGAAUCUACCCUUUUCUACGGAAUAACGCAGGGAAACUUGUGCUAAUACCGUAUGUGUCCUUCGGGAGAAAGAUUUAUCGGGAAAGGAUGAGCCCGCGUUGGAUUAGCUAGUUGGUGGGGUAAAGGCCUACCAAGGCGACGAUCCAUAGCUGGUCUGAGAGGAUGAUCAGCCACAUUGGGACUGAGACACGGCCCAAACUCCUACGGGAGGCAGCAGUGGGGAAUAUUGGACAAUGGGCGCAAGCCUGAUCCAGCCAUGCCGCGUGAGUGAUGAAGGCCCUAGGGUUGUAAAGCUCUUUCACCGGAGAAGAUAAUGACGGUAUCCGGAGAAGAAGCCCCGGCUAACUUCGUGCCAGCCGCCGCGGUAACAC
rnacentral:rRNA from 1 species